rnacentral:rRNA from 1 species
CCUACGGGUGGCAGCAGUGAGGAAUAUUGGUCAAUGGGCGGGAGCCUGAACCAGCGAAGCCGCGUGAGGGAAGAAGGUCCAGCGUAUCGUAAACCUCUUUUGUCAGGGAACAAAGUCGGGGACUCGUCCCCGGAUGCGGGUACCUGAAGAACAAGCAUAGGCUAACUCAGUGCCAGCAGCCGCGGUAAUACGGAGGAUGCGAGCUGUAUCCGGAGUUAAUGGGUUUAAAGGGUGCGCAGGCGGCCUGUUACGUCAGCGGUCAAAGCCCGGGGCUCAACCCCGGCGCGCCGGUGAAACGGGCGGGCUGGAGUGGGAGAGAAGUACGCGGAAUGCGAGGUGUAGCGGUGAAAUGCUUAGAUAUCGGGCAGAACCCCGAUUGCGAAGGCAGCGUACCGGGUCCACACUGACGCGGAGGCACGAAAGCGUGGGGAUCGAACAGGAGUAGAUACCCCAGUAGUC